GGUGGAGUGGCCGAGUGGAUGAGGCAGCGGCCUGCAAAGCCGCGUACACGGGUUCGAUUCCCGUCUCCACCU
rnacentral:tRNA from 1 species